rnacentral:rRNA from 1 species
CUGGCUCAGGACGAACGCUGGCGGCGUGCCUAACACAUGCAAGUCGAGCGAUGAAGUCUCGGAACGGAUUAGCGGCGGACGGGUGAGUAACACGUGGGUAACCUGCCUUGUAGAGGGGGAUAGCCUUCCGAAAGGAAGAUUAAUACCGCAUAACAUCUUUUUUAUCGCAUGGUAGAAAGAUCAAAGGAGUAAUCCGCUACAAGAUGGACCCGCGGCGCAUUAGCUAGUUGGUGAGGUAACGGCUCACCAAGGCGACGAUGCGUAGCCGACCUGAGAGGGUGAUCGGCCACAUUGGAACUGAGACACGGUCCAGACUCCUACGGGAGGCAGCAGUGGGGAAUAUUGCGCAAUUGGGGGGAAACCUUGACGCAGCAACGCCGCGUGAAUGAAGAAGGCCUUAGGGUUGUAAAGUUCUGUUUACGGGGACGAUAAUGACGGUACCCGUGGAGGAAGCCACGGCUAACUACGUGCCAGCCGCGGC